ensembl:rRNA 5S_rRNA 5S ribosomal RNA
GUCUACAGUCAUGCCACCUUGAGCGUGCUGGAUCUCAUCUGAUCUUGGAAGCUAAGCAGGGUUGGAUCUGAUUCUUAGUUGGAUGGGAGAGUUGGUCUUUGUUUCAGCAGUAGCUAGAUCAGUGUUGGUG